ensembl:snRNA U1 U1 spliceosomal RNA
AAAAAUACCUCUUCUCUCUACCAUGAUCAUUAAGAUGGUUUUCCCAGAGUGAAGCUUAUCCAUUGCUCUCUGGAUGUGCUGACCCCUGCGAUUUCCCCAAAUGUGGGAAACUCAACUGCAUAAUUUGUGGACGUGAGGAAUCAUGUUCACGCUCUCUGA